rfam:Balearica pavonina gibbericeps contig82352, whole genome shotgun sequence.
AUGUUCUCUUUGGCAGCAUAUAUACUAAAAUUUGAAUGAUACAGAGAAGAUUAGCAUGGAACCUGCAAAAGUUGUUUUGGGGAUGGUGGGAAGGCUCCACAGUAUGG